UACAGAGGGAGCAAGCGUUAUUCGGAAUUAUUGGGCGUAAAGGGCGCGUAGGCGGCCUGGCAAGUGGAAGGUGAAAUCCCUCGGCUUAACCGAGGAACUGCCCUCCAAACUGCUUGGCUUGAGUCCGGGAGAGGUGAGUGGAAUUCCCAGUGUAGCGGUGAAAUGCGUAGAUAUUGGGAGGAACACCAGUGGCGAAGGCGGCUCACUGGACCGGAACUGACGCUGAGGCGCGAAAGCGUGGGGAGCAAACGGG
rnacentral:rRNA from 1 species